CGGCGCCCGCUCACCCUCCAUGGCUAACUCCCUGAGUACCAGGUUACCGAGCUCUCGCGAGAAUGAGCUCCCCGUCGCCUCGCUAUUGGGCAGGAGGAGAAUUUCCGGUCCGGCCCCGGAAAUGGGACAAAGCGUGGUGUCUGUUUGUUGUUGAAAUGUCUGGAGGUAUUGUGGUUCCCAUUGCUGGAGGAGAUCCUCGGGGAAAUUCGAACCCUAUGCUCCGAGGUUUCGGAACCAGGCUGAUGUCCUAAUCCAGGUCACCUGUGUUUAACUCUUCUCUCCUUCCAUCUUCUCUGGUACCCGGGGUCAAGUCUAAGCCUUAUUCCCCUGACAGUCUCGGCGUUCUCUCCCUAUCCGCUAGCUCUUCUCUGUCUGGUCGGCUGGAAUCUCUCCCUCACUUCUGAUUGAUCCGGCCAAUUCCUUCUCCAAACCCUGCCCUCUAAGAAAAACCUGCAAAAAAAAAAAAAAAGUCCAGCUCCAUGGUGGUGUCAGUGGCGGCUGCCCACCUGAUAGCUGCUCAAGACCCCGCCUAAAAGCUACCAUUGUUGGGCAUCAUCAACCACCACCCCACCGCGUCUACAAGGACCGACUUUCAUACCGCUCCAGGCAACACCAAUCCGCUUCGGAGCAAAGACCAUCUACGAUAGAUGCAUUGCUCUAGACUUCAGUCUCCAGCACAGGCUUGGAAAUGGGCAAUUUCUCGUCUAGACCCGAUCCUCAGUCACCCCUGGGUAUCUACUGCAAAAUUUAUCCAAAUUGGGCUAUUUAACACCAUACGUCCAGAACACCUUAUUUCCUUUUGCUCUGUGAACUGGCCUCAAUAUGCCCUUGAUAACCAGUCAAGAUGGCCACCAGAGGGAACUCUUCAACAUCCUCCAUGAUCUUGAGAGUUUCUGCCCAUAUAAACAAGUGGUCUGAGCUCCCUUACAUCCAGGGAUUUGGGGUUCUGCGCUCCUGCACUUCUCUCUGUAGCCAGUGCCCCACGGCACAGGUUUUGUUGGCUGGGGUUGAGGCACCUCCAGACCCGUGUUUAUCUGGGGACUUGGACGCUGACCACUCUGCCUUGACCUUGCCAUCUGAUUCACUGGUAUCUUCACCCUUUCCCCGGAGCCUGCUUCCCCCUUCCCCUCUUACACUGCAAUGUUUCUCCAUGGGCAUUGCACAACAAAUGGUGCACAGACCUAAAUGAAGAUAAAACAUCCGCACAUAAAAUUAAAUUAAGUCUUUGGGGGCUCAGCAGUUAAGAGCACUGUCUGCUCUUCCAGAGACCUUGAGUUCAAUUCUUAACAACCACAGGUGGCUCACAACCAUCUGUAAUAGGAUCUGACAUAAAGUUAAUAGGCUGCUCAUAUAUAUAAAACAAAUACAUAGUUUUUCUUUUAAAACUAAAGGAAUAGGUCUUUGGUGGUGCACACCUUUAAUCCCAGGUCUUGGGAGACAGAGGUAGGUGGUUUUGCAUAGUGAGUUCCACUGAGGCUGCAUAGUGAGACCCUGUCUCAAAGAGGAAACAAGGAUGCACGAUGGAGAGAGAAGUAGACUCUCCAGCACGUUUGUCCACACAUAAACACACAGGAAAUUAAAAAAAUAAAUAAAUAAAACAACUGCUGAAUGUGA